UGCUUAGCAUGGCAUGUGUUUUGUAAGACAGUGAUCCUCCACAGAGGGAAUGCAGGCUGGUACUGUACUGACUGUCUGCUCCAGCGGGAGAGACUGUGUACUCUUGUAAGGCAAGUGAACCAUGACUCAUGAGCACUGAGGUCUCCUGAGAUGCCACCCAAGCCCUACUUUAAGAUUAGACUCUAUAAAAUCGAUGUCCAAACACCAUUAGAGGGCCCAAAAUAUGAAGUAUUUUCAUCAUGGAGGAAAAAAAAAUGACCUUGCUUGACUUGACUAUAAAGUAUGUAUCUCCACAGCAGCUGAGCCAUGGAUUUCUCUAACUUCAUAUUGUUACAAUAAAACAGACAGCAGCGA